CCUACGGGAGGCAGCAGUGAGGAAUAUUGGUCAAUGGGCGCGAGCCUGAACCAGCCAAGUAGCGUGAAGGAUGACUGCCCUACGGGUUGUAAACUCCUUUUUUAAAGGAAUAUAGUGAGGCACGUGUGCCUUUUUGUAUGUACUUUAUGAAUAAGGAUCGGCUAACUCCGUGUCAGCAGCCGCGGUAAUACGGAGGAUCCGAGCGUUAUCCGGAUUUUUUGGGUUUAAAGGGAGCGUAGAUGGGUUGUUAAGUCAGUUGUGAAAGUGUGCGGCUCAACCGUAAAAUUGCAAUUGAUACUGGCAGUCUUGAGUACAGGUGAGGUAGGCGGAACUCGUGGUGUAGCGGUGAAAUGCUUAGAUAUCACGAAGAACUCCGAUUGUGAAGGCAGCUUACUAAACUGCCACUGACAUUGAUGCUCGAAAGUGUGGGUAUCAAACAGGAUUAGAUACCCUGGUAGUC
rnacentral:rRNA from 1 species